GCAGAGCUGUCUGCAGUAUUACAGAGUCAUUCUUACUAGUGUUUUGUAUAGUGCCACAAAAACUACCCUUUUUCUUCUGGGAAUACUUCAGAUUCACCUUAUGGUCAUAUUUGCCUCUCUCACCGAAGGUUUCUGAUUAGAGAACAAAUACUUCAGAUUGAAGACUGACCUGGUCAACCAGGGGAUAUGAUGGCAGCUAAAAUGUGGUGGUUUUGCCCUGAACCUACUGGAUCAAGUCAUCUCUCACUUUGCUGAAGCAGUGGAUAAUUGCCUUGCCUCGUCCCUGGGAGGGCUCUGUGAAAAUACCUGCUUGGUGGUGAGGAAGGCCAGCCAUGGAAAUAAAUAGGUCAUCUCACUUCAGGAGGAGUGUAGUCCUGAAGCAGAAGAGAAAAGAGAAACUAUACAGAAGGAUCAACUGUUUUACUGCUUUUAUAUUUACCAGAGAGGCCAGUAUAGAGACAGCUGGAAGAGGAAGGUACAAAAUACCCAAGUUCCUCUCCCAGAUUGUGUCCCAGUGAAUCCCUUUCCCCUCCAUCCCCCUGCAGCAAAACUUCAGGUUUGUGAGGGGAACCAGCAAGACUGGGCCUACCGGAAACCUCCAGCUCACAUUUGCUUCUCACAGGAAGCUAUCAAGUGGAUUCCAAGAGUGUGGUUAUCCUGACCCAGCUCAUUCAGAUUCAUUUGUCUCAUGAUAAAAAGUAUAGACAGAAAACACCAGGUGUACAGAAGAAGAUAAAUAGUUCAGAUGUCUAUGUGGAAUGACUCUGGGCCUUGGGAAAAUUAGAAUAUACUACAGCUGUGCCUUGCAAAUCAAGAGUCAAGUUCUCCUGUGCAUGAACUCAGCAGACACCAGAGA